rnacentral:rRNA from 1 species
UACAGGGGGGCAAGCGUUGUUCGGAAUUACUGGGCGUAAAGGGCUCGUAGGCGGCCAACUAAGUCAGACGUGAAAUCCCUCGGCUUAACCGGGGAACUGCGUCUGAUACUGGAUGGCUUGAAUCCGGGAGAGGGAUGCGGAAUUCCAGGUGUAGCGGUGAAAUGCGUAGAUAUCUGGAGGAACACCGGUGGCGAAGGCGGCAUCCUGGACCGGCAUUAACGCUGAGGAGCGAAAGCCAGGGGAGCAAACGGG